CACACCCACCAUGGGGACAAAGGAAUUCAGACUUGGGGACAGUACCAGAAGAUCUCAGAAAGGCCAUCUCCCAAAUGAACAAGUGAAUUACAACUGUGACACAGAACGAGUGGAAGGAGCCUUUGAAUCACCUCUUUGAAAACUCCCUGUUCCCCUGGAUGGGCAGAGUCACAGCCUCUGGGUCAGGAGUCCCCUGUGCUUCUCCUUUGCCAGCAGAGCAACAAAACUUCUUUUUCCUUUUCCUCAAAACCGUGUCCUCAUUAUCAGAUUGGCUUCAGGGACAAGGAUGGAGCUUUCGGUAAAGGAUGAUCUCACGGGUGUGGGAUCAGUCACAGAUUCCCUCCCAGCCCAGCCUGCCGAGGCAGACCUUUAAUUCCUAGCUGAGUUUCCCCAACUGCCACCCUAUUCUACUCCUCCCUCAGUCUUCAGCCUCCUGCCUGGAUUCUGGAACAUUCUCAUCCAUGUACUUCCUGACCUCACUUCGUCAGGUCUCUGCUCAAUGCCAUCUCUGUGCUGGCCACCUGCUCCGUGUCCACUUCCUGUCACCCAGCUCUCCUGUCCUCUCCCCUCUCAGUCAUUCCUCUG
rnacentral:lncRNA from 1 species